GCUUAACCCCAUUUGAAAACUUCUCGAAAGAAGUCGGUAAUGAAUAACAACUUGUAGGAGAUGUGGGUAUUGAUCUUGAGCUAGAAGAUGAUUUUACUCUCAUUAGAGAAUCCUUCUUCUCCACUACAUUUAAUGCUAACUUUGACAAGUGGGACUUCGACCAAGUCAAAGUAGGCUUCUUUUUUUCCACUUUUUCCUGUUUGGUACCACCAUUUGAUCUCGAAACUGCAGAUUUAUUAUCUUUCGCCGCCACAUGACUAUUACCUAAUGCUUUUGAAGGAGACUUAGUUUUGUCUCGCGAUUUUGAACCAGGAGACAGAUUACCAUUGUUAUUUAGGAAGCCUAAAGAAUGAGUUGCUACUAUAUCUUCGGGAGUUCCAACACAAGGGUGUCGUCCAGGGACGGGC
rnacentral:misc_RNA from 1 species